AUUAAUUUUAGUUUGAAUUUAGUUCCCUUUGAAUUCGUUUUAUGUAAAUUCCAAUAUGGAUUUUAAAAUUAACCGUAGGUGUACAAAAAAAAAAAAAUGGCUCAAAGCUGAAAUUGACACUGUUCACAGAAAGCUGAAAAUUAUCGGAUGUAACAGAUGGGAGCUUCGUGUUGGGUUUGACUACAAUGUUGCUAGCUGUGAGUGUUGGAGUGUCCCGCGGCGUCAUGAAAACGCAAUUGGAAUCGCAGUUUGAUUUCAGUUUGGUAAACGUCAACUAAUUUCCGCACAAUCGACGCCAAAUCCGAGCGAACAUCAAAUCGAAACGACAAAACAGCACUUGAAAUUAAAUCGAUCAAUGGCUGGGAUGCAUGGCAUGGAAUUGAAUGGGUAGUCCCAUCCAGCAAGCUCAACGGUUACCCAACGGCAACCACGUUCUCUGUGCGGGGGCAGCGGCUGUCAGCAUUAUUACGGCUGGAUGACAUUUUAUCGCAUUUCAUUAGCAGUCAGAGGCUACGAAUCCAAUUCCAUUUUACAUUUCGUCGCACUUCAUUUGCAAAUUUGCGAGUGCGACGCGACUUGCGUCCGUCCACUUCAAUAAAACGUUGAAUUUUCUUUUGUGCCCGCCUC